GUGUAUUUACAUGCUGGGCAAUGUGGUGUUAAGGUGUGUACCUGGGAUCGUGUCCCUACCCGAAGUCUAAAUCCGAUUGUGGCUUUGGAUUCAUUCCAUAGCGGGUGAAAGUCCCGUGCGGGUAGGACUAUUGCAAAUCACACGGUCCUCAGAUGUGCAUGCUUUCGAGUCGGAUUGCUUGAGAAUGCAGUCCAAAGUGGGUGGUAAACUCCAUCCAAGGCUAAAUACUGGCACGAGUCCGAUAGUAGACAAGUACCGUGAGGGAAAGUUGAAAAGUACUCUGAAGAGAGAGUAAAUAGUACGUGAAGCCGAUUGCAGGGAAGCUGGUGGAGUCAAGCUUCGUGCUUGAGGGAUUGAUGCUGGGAGCAGGUGUGUGAUGUGGAUGCGAGGGCGGACAACUUGGAAUAAGUUGGGCGUGUUCUGAAUGCGCUUCAAGUCAUUCCGGGAAGAGUGUUAUGAGCCGUUCUCGCUUUCCUACUCUCAGUGUUGUAUUCCUCGCUGCACAGGCCACAGUCGAUAGGUGCAUGCGGUGUGAGGGCCUAACUGUGCUUCGGCGGGUGCAAACUCUCCGGGUGCAGGAUGGCAGGUGCUGUCUUCAGGCCUCGUGUCUGUUGAUGGUUGUUGUGGUUUUGACCGGCUGGUCUUCAUACCG
rnacentral:rRNA from 1 species